GUAGGGAAUAUUGGACAAUGGGCGAAAGCCUGAUCCAGCCAUGCCACGUGUGUGAAGAAGGUCUUCGGAUUGUAAAGCACUUUAAGUUGGGAGGAAGGGCAGUAAGUUAAUACCUUGCUGUUUUGACGUUACCGACAGAAUAAGCACCGGCUAACUUCGUGCCAGCAGCCGCGGUAAUACGAAGGGUGCAAGCGUUAAUCGGAAUUACUGGGCGUAAAGCGCGCGUAGGUGGUUUUGUAAGUUGGAGGUGAAAUCCCCGGGCUCAACCUGGGAACUGCCUCCAAAACUGCAUGACUAGAGUACGGUAGAGGGUAGUGGAAUUUCCUGUGUAGCGGUGAAAUGCGUAGAUAUAGGAAGGAACACCAGUGGCGAAGGCGACUACCUGGACUGAUACUGACACUGAGGUGCGAAAGCGUGGGGAGCAAACAGGAUUAGAUACCCCGGUAGUCC
rnacentral:rRNA from 1 species